rnacentral:rRNA from 1 species
AGAGCGAACGCUGGCGGCAGGCUUAACACAUGCAAGUCGAACGGAUCCUUCGGGAUUAGUGGCGGACGGGUGAGUAACACGUGGGAACGUGCCUUUAGGUUCGGAACAACACAGGGAAACUUGUGCUAAUACCGGAUGUGCCCUUCGGGGGAAAGAUUUAUCGCCUUUAGAGCGGCCCGCGUCUGAUUAGCUUGUUGGUGAGGUAAAGGCUCACCAAGGCUACGAUCAGUAGCUGGUCUGAGAGGAUGGCCAGCCACAUUGGGACUGAGACACGGCCCAAACUCCUACGGGAGGCAGCAGUGGGGAAUCUUGCGCAAUGGGGGAAACCCUGACGCAGCCAUGCCGCGUGGAUGAUGAAGGUCUUAGGAUUGUAAAAUCCUUUCAGCGGGGACGAUAAUGACGGUACCCGCAGAAGAACGCCCCGGACUAACUUCGUGCCAGCAGCCGC